CGUGCCAGCAGCCGCGGUAAUACGGAGGGUGCAAGCGUUAUCCGGAUUUACUGGGUUUAAAGGGUGCGUAGGCGGACUAUUAAGUCAAAUGUGAAAGCUUGCAGCUCAACUGUAAGAUUGCGUUUGAUACUGGUAGUCUUGAAUAUGGUAGAAGUUGGCGGAAUAAAUCAUGUAGCGGUGAAAUGCUUAGAUAUGAUUUAGAACACCGAUUGCGAAGGCAGCUAGCUAUGUCAUAAUUGACGCUGAGGCACGAAAGCGUGGGGAUCAAACAGGAUUAGAUACCCUGGUAGUCCACGCCCUAAACGAUGAAUACUCGUUGUUGGCGAUAUACAGUCAGCGACUAAGGGAAACCGUUAAGUAUUCCACCUGGGGAGUACGUUCGCAAGAAUGAAACUCAAAGAAAUUGGCGGGGGUCCGCACAAGCGGUGGAUUAUGUGGU
rnacentral:rRNA from 1 species